UACCGGCAGCUCAAGUGGUCGUCGCUUUUAUUGGGCCUAAAACGUCCGUAGCCUGUUCUAUAAGUUUCCGGUUAAAUCCAUACGCUCAACGUAUGGGCUGUCGGAAAUACUGCAGAACUAGGGAGUGGGAGAGGUAGACGGUACUCGAUAGGAAGAGGUAAAAUUCUUUGAUCUAUUGAUGACCACCUGUGGCGAAGGCGGUCUACCAGAACACGUUCGACGGUGAGGGAUGAAAGCUGGGGGAGCAAACCGG
rnacentral:rRNA from 1 species